UUGGGUCACUUCUCCAGCAA
rnacentral:misc_RNA from 1 species